rnacentral:rRNA from 1 species
UAUAGGAGCGGCCGAUAUUUGAUUAGCUAGUUGGUGGGGUAAAGGCCUACCAAGGCGACGAUCAGUAGCUGGUUUGAGAGGACGACCAGCCACACUGGGAAUGAGACACGGCCCAGACUCCUACGGGAGGCAGCAGUGGGGAAUUUUGGACAAUGGGCGAAAGCCUGAUCCAGCCAUGCCGCGUGCAGGAAGAAGGCCUUCGGGUUGUAAACUGCUUUAGUCUAGGAAAAAGGGGUG